UUUAAAUGUCAAAUGGCCGUCGGGUUUAUGUGAAUCUUUCAUUAUGAUUAAAUAUUAGAAUUUCUUAUGAAUCUUAAAUUAUGUAAUAAAUAGUUUAGAAGAGAAAAAAUAAAUUUGUUUUUAGUAUUAUAAUGUGGUUAAUGAAGCAGCUAAAAAGUCCUUCCAGUCAAUUGCAACAAUAAUUAAAGCAACAGGAAACAGCCAAGCACACAUGCAAGUGGUAAAUUGAUUUUUUGUGACAUGUUUACUCCUUUAAAAUUUAGAUUAUCCUAAAAUAAUAAUUAAGUUAAUGGCUAUUUCUGUAAAGAUCAUUCUGUAAAUAAAAACUGCAGUGUUUUUAAAACUUAUAGUUAUUUUUUUAGUAAUCACAAGAUAAACUGCAAACUCUGUACUUUUAAAUAUGAUUCUAAAAUCUGAACAUCUGUCAGAUAUUUACCUUUUAAAUCAUAAUCUAAUUGCUCAGGCUUAUAAAAAUCUAUUUAUAAAAAUUCAACGCUUAAAAAAUAAUGUAAGAUUAAAGGUAAUUCCUGUUAUUUUUGAAAGGUACAUUGAUGAUUGGUUCGAGUCUUUAAAGUUUAAAUUAGUUAAAAGAGAGUUCAACUUGUUCUGUUUUUAUCUUAUGCUCUUUAUCUAAAAGCUAUUGAAAUAUUUAUUGCAUUAUUUUUUAUUUAUUUUAUUAUGUUAUGAAAGACCUACCAAGCUUAAAAUUUUACAGGUCGAAAUAUAUAGUAUGUAUAUGUAUAUUAUCCCUCGGAAUUAGGAAAACUAAAGUAAGCAAAAAAAGCUAAAAAAACUAGAGGACUAAACUUAUUUAAAACACUUUUAACAAGUUUAGUUACAAGUUAAUGUUAUGUGUUGAUGUACCUUCAACCAAAUUAGUGUUAACAUUUUAGCAAAAUGUCAUAUCGUCAGGCUGUUUGAUUAGAAGUACCAAAAGCUUGAUAUUUUAUUGAAUUGUUAUUUUAGUUUGUGAUAUUAUAAUUUUUAUUCAAAAAAUGUUAAAUAAUUUACUUUUAAAAUUUAUUUUUCAUUGCUUUGGAUAAGAUGUUUUGUUAUUCCUUUUACAGAUUGUUAUGAGGAUUGCAAAAGUUUUAAAUAUCAGAAACUGAAGAAGGUAUUGAUAAUCAGCAGAUCUUUUAAAGUUAAACCAUUACCACUUCCACAGCCACCUUGUCUCAAGCAUUCAAUCACAUUCUAAGAUAUCUUUAUUGAAAUUAAGUGUGACUACUUUACCAAAAGACUCUAGAAUGGACCAAUCAAUGAAACUGUCGGUAUCUCCACAACUUUUCAAUUAAAUAGAAAGUUUCAAUCAAACAGGAUACUGAGUGUGCCUACUGCUCCUCAAGACAAUGGAUAAUGGGAGUUAUCAAACUUGCGAUAACUACAAGUUUUUUUAAUAAGUAAAAAGAUUGUAUGACUUCGGUAUCCGCAAUAUGGUAUCGUGCAUUGGUUCUUAUCUUAGAAUGGCUCCCUUCCGUAUAGGUGAAAAUAAGAAAGGUUAUCAGUUCAAGCAAAGAUGACAAUGAUCGUUAUGGAGCCGAUCAUGAUGACGAAUACGAUAAUGCAUAUAAUAAUAAAUAAAAUGAUUUUACUUGUAUUUUAGACUUAUAUAAAUAAAAAGUUAUCUAUUUAA
rnacentral:lncRNA from 1 species